rnacentral:rRNA from 1 species
GACGAACGCUGGCGGCGUGCUUAACACAUGCAAGUCGAACGGAAAGGCCCUGCUUUUGUGGGGUGCUCGAGUGGCGAACGGGUGAGUAACACGUGAGUAACCUGCCCUUGACUUUGGGAUAACUUCAGGAAACUGGGGCUAAUACCGGAUAGGAGCUCCUGCUGCAUGGUGGGGGUUGGAAAGUUUCGGCGGUUGGGGAUGGACUCGCGGCUUAUCAGCUUGUUGGUGGGGUAGUGGCUUACCAAGGCUUUGACGGGUAGCCGGCCUGAGAGGGUGACCGGCCACAUUGGGACUGAGAUACGGCCCAGACGCCUACGGGAGGCAGCAGUGGGGAAUAUUGCACAAUGGGCGGAAGCCUGAUGCAGAAGCGCCGCGUGCGGGAUGACGGCCUUCGGGUGGUAAACCGCUUUCGCCUGUGACGAAGCGUGAGUGACGGUAAUGGGUAAAGAAGCACCGGCUAACUACGUG